rnacentral:lncRNA from 1 species
GAUAGCUAGAUGAUCUCGUGAAUAUCCCAUUCGUGCGGAUUCCUCCACAUGGCAGGUUGAAUGUGUGAUCCUAACGUACGACAUCGGCAGUGAACAGUGAAAGCCAAAAGCGGGUGUUGAAACAACCAUUGUUUGUUCAAGACUUGGGUUGUAAGGUUGGUGAACCUCUGGAAGUUAAGGGUUUAGAUUGCCAAGUACAAAGUCCAAAACAUGUAAAAUGUUGUUACCAAGGCGGUUACGAUUGUAAAUGAACGAGGUUUCCCAUGGACUCGUCUACCUCCACAAUCUCUGGCAAACCAAAUAAUGCAAGCGUUAUAGUUUAUCGCCAUAAGAGUUGGAGAAAAUAAAACCAAUGUAUACAUACAGUGGAUAUUCUGAUAAAUCCACAUAA